CGCUUUCUUUUGCUGGCGACCGGCGCACGGGUGAGUAACACGUAUCCAACCUGCCCUUUACUCGGGGAUAGCCUUUCGAAAGAAAGAUUAAUACCCGAUAGCAUAAUGAUUCCGCAUGGUUUCAUUAUUAAAGGAUUCCGGUAAAGGAUGGGGAUGCGUUCCAUUAGGUUGUUGGUGGGGUAACGGCCCACCAAGCCUUCGAUGGAUAGGGGUUCUGAGAGGAAGGUCCCCCACAUUGGAACUGAGACACGGUCCAA
rnacentral:rRNA from 1 species